GUAUAUUGGACAAUGGGCGAAAGCCUGACCCUGCCACGCCGCGUGCGUGAAGAAGGUCUUCUGAUUUUAAAGCACUUUAAGCUGGGAGGAAGGGCAGUAAGCGAAUACCUUGCUGUUCUGACGUUACAGACAGAAUAAGCACCGGAUAACCCUGUUCCAGCACCCGCGGUAAGACAGAGGGGGCAACCGUUAAUCGGAAUUACUGGGCGUAAAGCGCGCGUAGGUGGUUCGUUAAGUUGGAUGUGAGAUCCCCGGGCUCAACCUGGGAACUGCAUCCAAAACUGGCGAGCUAGGGUAGGGCAGAGGGUGGUGGAAUUUCCUGUGUAGCGGUGAAAUGCGUAGAUAUAGGAAGGAACACCAGUGGCGAAGGCGACCACCUGGGCUCAUACUGACACUGAGGUGCGAAAGCGUGGGGAGCAAACAG
rnacentral:rRNA from 1 species